rnacentral:piRNA from 1 species
UGUGACUCAAUUGUGACUCAA